rnacentral:rRNA from 1 species
UACGUAGGGGGCUAGCGUUAUCCGGAAUUACUGGGCGUAAAGGGUGCGUAGGUGGUUUCUUAAGUCAGAGGUGAAAGGCUACGGCUCAACCGUAGUAAGCCUUUGAAACUGGGAAACUUGAGUGCAGGAGAGGAGAGUGGAAUUCCUAGUGUAGCGGUGAAAUGCGUAGAUAUUGGGAGGAACACCAGUUGCGAAGGCGGCUCUCUGGACUGUAAUUGACACUGAGGCACGAAAGCGUGGGGAGCAAACAGG